GGUAAGUUCCGACCUGCACGAAUGGCGUAACGAUGGCGGCGCUGUCUCCACCCGAGACUCAGUGAAAUUGAAAUCGCUGUGAAGAUGCAGCGUUCCCGUGGCAAGACGGAAAGACCCCGUGAACCUUUACUAUAGCUUUGCACUGGACUUUGAAUUUGCUUGUGUAGGAUAGGUGGGAGGCUUUGAAGCGUGGACGCCAGUCUGCGUGGAGCCAUCCUUGAAAUACCACCCUGGCAACUUUGAGGUUCUAACUCAGGUCCGUUAUCCGGAUCGAGGACAGUGUAUGGUGGGUAGUUUGACUGGGGCGGUCUCCUCCUAAAGAGUAACGGAGGAGUACGAAGGUGCGCUCAGACCGGUCGGAAAUCGGUCGCAGAGUAUAAAGGCAAAAGCGCGCUUGACUGCGAGACAGACACGUCGAGCAGGUACGAAAGUAGGUCUUAGUGAUCCGGUGGUUCUGUAUGGAAGGGCCAUCGCUCAACGGAUAAAAGGUACUCCGGGGAUAACAGGCUGAUACCGCCCAAGAGUUCAUAUCGACGGCGGUGUUUGGCACCUCGAUGUCGGCUCAUCACAUCCUGGGGCUGAAGCCGGUCCCAAGGGUAUGGCUGUUCGCCAUUUAAAGUGGUACGCGAGCUGGGUUCAGAACGUCGUGAGACAGUUCGGUCCCUAUCUGCCAUGGGCGUUGGAGAUUUGAGAGGGGCUGCUCCUAGUACGAGAGGACCGGAGUGGACGAACCUCUGGUGUUCCGGUUGUCACGCCAGUGGCAUUGCCGGGUAGCUAUGUUCGGAAAAGAUAACCGCUGAAAGCAUCUAAGCGGGAAACUUGCCUCAAGAUGAGAUCUCACUGGAGCCUUGAGCUCCCUGAAGGGCCGUCGAAGACUACGACGUUGAUAGGCAGGGUGUGUAAGCGCUGUGAGGCGUUGAGCUAACCUGUACUAAUUGCCCGUGAGGCUUGACCAUAUAACACCCAAGCAAUUUGG
rnacentral:rRNA from 1 species